rnacentral:rRNA from 1 species
UACGUAGGGGGCAAGCGUUGUCCGGAUUUAUUGGGCGUAAAGAGCGUGUAGGCGGCUAUGCAGGUCCGCUGUGAAAACUCGAGGCUCAACCUCGAGACGUCGGUGGAAACCGCAUGGCUAGAGUCCGGAAGAGGAGAGUGGAAUUCCCGGUGUAGCGGUGAAAUGCGCAGAUAUCAGGAAGAACACCCGUGGCGAAAGCGGCUCUCUGGGACGGUACUGACGCUGAGACGCGAAAGCGUGGGGAGCGAACAGG